rnacentral:rRNA from 1 species
GCGAAUGGCUCAUUACAUCAGUUAUGGUUCCUUAGAUCGUACCCACAUUACUUGGAUAACUGUGGUAAUUCUAGAGCUAAUACAUGCAAAUAGAGUUCCGACCAGAGAUGGAAGGAAUGCUUUUAUUAGAUCAAAACCAAUCGGUGGCGGGCUUGCCUUGCUCACCGUUUGACUUGGUGACUCUGAAUAACUUUGUGCUGAUCGCACGGUCUCGUACCGGCGACGCAUCUUUCAAAUGUCUGCCUUAUCAACUGUCGAUGGUAGUUUCUGCGACUACCAUGGUUGUUACGGGUAACGGGGAAUCAGGGUUCGAUUCCGGAGAGGGAGCCUGAGAAACGGCUACCACAUCCAAGGAAGGCAGCAGGCGCGCAAAUUACCCACUCCCGGCACGGGGAGGUAGUGACGAAAAAUAACGAUACGGGACUCAUCCGAGGCCCCGUAAUCGGAAUGAGUACACUUUAAAUCCUUUCACGAUUAACAAUUGGAGGGCAAGCCUGGUGCCAGCAGCCGCGGUAACUCCAGCUCCAAUAGCGUAUAUUAAAGUUGUUGCGGUUAAAAAGCUCGUAGUUGAAUCUGUGUCCCACACUGUCGGUUCACCGCUCGCGGUGUCCAACUGGCAUGUCUGUGGGACGUCCUACCGGUGGGCGCAGCCCGUCAAAAGGCGGCCCAACUCAAAAUCCUACCACGGUGCUCUUCACCGAGUGUCGAGG